rnacentral:rRNA from 14 species
AAGUUGUGUAGUGCGAUCGGUGGAUGCCUUGGCACCAAGAGCCGAUGAAGGACGUUGUGACCUGCGAUAAGCCCUGGGGAGUUGGUGAGCGAGCUGUGAUCCGGGGGUGUCCGAAUGGGGAAACCUGGAAUGUCCGGAGUAGUGUCCGGUGGCCCUGCCCUGAAUGUAUAGGGGUGUGGGUGGUAACGCGGGGAAGUGAAACAUCUUAGUACCCGUAGGAAGAGAAAACAAGUGUGAUUCCGUGAGUAGUGGCGAGCGAAAGCGGAGGAGGCUAAACCGUGUGUGUGUUCAAGCCGGCAGGUGUUGCAUGUGCGGGGUUGUGGGGGCCUUGUGGUUCUGCUGCCGCAGGAUUGGCCAGUGAGAAAUGUUGCGUGAAGGUGAAGCGUCUGGGAAGGCGUACCGGAGUGGGUGAGAGUCCUGUAACUGUAAGCGUGGCACUGGUGUGGGGUUGCCCCGAGUAGCGUGGGACUCGUGGAAUUUCGCGUGAAUCUGGCGGGACCACCCGUCAAGCCUAAAUACUCCUUGGUGACCGAUAGUGGAUGAGUACCGUGAGGGAAGGGUGAAAAGUACCCCGGGAGGGGAGUGAAAGAGUUCCUGAAACCGGUCGCAUGCAAGCCGUCAGAGCCUGUGUGGUGAUGGCGUGCCUUUUGAAGAAUGAGCCUGCGAGUCAGCGGCAUGUCGCGAGGUUAACCCGUGUGGGGUAGCCGUAGGGAAACCGAAUCCUAAUGGGGUGUAUAGUGGCAUGUCCUGGACCCGAAGCGGGGUGAUCUACCCAUGGCCAGUGUGAAGCAGCUGUAAGAGGUUGUGGAGGCGCGAACCCACGUAGGUUAAAAACUGCGGGGAUGAGCUGUGGGUAGGGGUGAAAGGCCAAUCAAACUCCGUGAUAGCUGGUUCUCCCCGAAAUGCAUUUAGGUGCAGCGUCACGUGUUUCUUGCCGGAGGUAGAGCACUGGAUAGCUAAUGGGCCUUACCAGGUUACU